rnacentral:rRNA from 1 species
UCUAAACAUAUCGCCUUUUUACUAUUAACUAUUAACUACUAACUAUUAACUACAUAGUGCGAAGCACUGUGACUAGCGGCGAACGGGUGAGUAACACGUGGAUAACCUGCCCCAUACACUGGGAUACCUAUUGGAAACGAUAGUUAAUACCAGAUAAGCACACAUUAUGGCAUCAUAGAGUGUGAAAAGAUUUUAUCGGUAUGGGAGGGGUCCGCGUUAGAUUAGCUAGUUGGUGAGAUAAUAGCUCACCAAGGCUACGAUCUAUAGCCGGUCUGAGAGGAUGAACGGCCACACUGGGACUGAGACACGGCCCAGACUCCUACGGGAGGCAGCAGUCUGGAAUAUUGCACAAUGGGCGCAAGCCUGAUGCAGCAACGCCGCGUGAAGGAUGAAGGCUUUCGAGUUGUAAACUUCUUUAGGUAGGGACGAUAAUGACGGUACCUACAGAAUAAGCCCCGGCUAAAUACGUGCCAGCAGCCGCGGUAAUACGUAUGGGGCAAGCGUUAUCCGGAAUUACUGGGUGUAAAGGGUGAGUAGGCGGUUUGCCAAGUCAUAUGUGAAAUCCCUGGGCUCAACCCAGGAACUGCAUAAGAAACUAGCAAACUAGAGUAUGGGAGAGGCAGGCGGAAUUCCUAGUGUAGCGGUGGAAUGCGUAGAUAUUAGGAGGAACACCAGUGGCGAAAGGCGGCCUGCUGGACCAAAACUGACGCUGAGUCACGAAAGCGUGGGGAGCAAACAGGAUUAGAUACCCUGGUAGUCCACGCCGUAAACGAUGAGUGCUAGGUGUCGGGGGGGAAACCCUCGGUGCCGCAGCUAACGCAAUAAAGCACUCCACCUGGGGAGUACGUACGCAAGUAUGAAACUCAAAGGAAUUGACGGGGGCCCCGCACAGCCGGUGG